rnacentral:rRNA from 1 species
UACGUAGGGUCCGAGCGUUGUCCGGAAUUAUUGGGCGUAAAGGGCUCGUAGGCGGUUUGUCGCGUCGGGAGUGAAAACCUACAGCUUAACUGUGGGCUUGCUUUCGAUACGGGCAGACUUGAGGCAUGCAGGGGAGAACGGAAUUCCUGGUGUAGCGGUGAAAUGCGCAGAUAUCAGGAAGAACACCCGUGGCGAAGGCGGCUCUCUGGGACGGUACUGACGCUGAGACGCGAAAGCGUGGGGAGCGAACAGG